rnacentral:rRNA from 1 species
AUUGAACGCUAACGGCGUGCUUAACACAUGCAAGUCGAGCGGCAGCAUGGCUGUAGCAAUACAGUUGAUGGCGAGCGGCGGACGGGUGAGUAAUGCAUAGGAAUCUGCCUUGUAGUGGGGGAUAACCCGGGGAAACUCGGGCUAAUACCGCAUAAUCUCUACGGAGCAAAGUGGGGGACCUUCGGGCCCUACGCUAAAAGAUGAGCUCAUGUUGGAUUAGCUAGUUGGUAGGGUAAAGGCCUAUCAAGGCAACGAUCCAUAGCUGGUCUGAGAGGAUGAUCAGCCACACUGGGACUGAGACACGGCCCAGACUCCUACGGGAGGCAGCAGUGGGGAAUAUUGGACAAUGGGCGAAAGCCUGAUCCAGCAACGCCGUGUGUGUGAAGAAGGCCUUCGGGUUGUAAAGCACUUUUAGUGGGGAAGAAAAGUUCAUGGCUAAUAUCCAUGAAUGCUGACGUUACCCACAGAAAAAGCACUGGCUAACUCUGUGCCAGCCGCCGCGGUAA